GACGAACGCUGGCGGCGUGCUUAACACAUGCAAGUCGAACGGAAAGGCCCUGCUUUUGUGGGGUGCUCGAGUGGCGAACGGGUGAGUAACACGUGAGUAACCUGCCCUUGACUUUGGGAUAACUUCAGGAAACUGGGGCUAAUACCGGAUAGGAGCUCCUGCUGCAUGGUGGGGGUUGGAAAGUUUCGGCGGUUGGGGAUGGACUCGCGGCUUAUCAGCUUGUUGGUGGGGUAGUGGCUUACCAAGGCUUUGACGGGUAGCCGGCCUGAGAGGGUGACCGGCCACAUUGGGACUGAGAUACGGCCCAGACUCCUACGGGGGGCAGCGGUGGGGAAUAUUGCACAAUGGGCGGAAGCCUGAUGCAGCGACGCCGCGUGCGGGAUGACGGCCUUCGGGUUGUAAACCGCUUUCGCCUGUGACGAAGCGUGAGUGACGGUAAUGGGUAAAGAAGCACCGGCUAACUACGUG
rnacentral:rRNA from 1 species